AUUGAUUUGAUUUUACUUGUAGAACUAAGAGCCCCUCAUUGAGUGACUAUUCAGAUUUCAAAGUGACUCGAAUUGUUUACAUAGCUUCUACCUGAAGGAUUUAGAAUCUGUUUUCUGAUAGCAAAACUAAUAUAUAUGGUGGCCAGAGUAUAACUAUGUUCAUACUUUGGCCUGGGAGAUAAUUUAUCAUGAGCUUUUACUAUUUAAAAUGUUACACAUUUGCCUACUAUUUUAUAAAUGAUGUUGCCUUCAGAAUUUGUGGGAAGGUAGAAAACUCAAAAUAUCUCGCAUCUUUUGUGCAAUGGAAAGUCUUGAGUUUUGAUGUCCUAAAUAUGAUUGCAGAAAUUGUUCUGUUGCUCUUAAAAAAUGGACCUACAUAUGACAAAAAUCCAUGCUAUCUGGGUAAUUCUCCCAACCUGUAAGGCUGAGGACUGUGGUGUGCGUUGUUCUUUAGUGUCUUCCACCAGCAGUGCCUCCUGUUAAAAUGUGACAGUCUCCCAAUGUUAAAGAAACUGGACAUAUGCUUUCUCUGUUAUUCUUGUUAGACAUAAGAAAGUAAUAUGUUUCUUUUCCUGUUGUAACAUUUUACAAAAGAGCUGCUAGUCAGAUCUUUAUUCUUAAAUUAAUCUCAAACUGGAUGUAAAAAUUUAAAAAUAUUUUUUAAUUUAUUUUUUUAAUAGUAGUAUAAGAACUCUGGCUGCUACUUAGUUGUUAUUCUGUUUUCCGGAUAGAAGCUAUUUAAAAAAGUCCAGUUUCUGUCCCAGGGUAGCAAAAUGUACUUCCUCAUUUUGUUGUUUUGUGAUUUAUAAAUUACACUACCUUUUGAAUAUACAAACCUCAUUCUUCAUUGGACAAUGUGAAGGCUUUGGGUUUUUUGAAGUUAAAUUUGAAGGUGCAGUUUGCUUUGGCAUUCCCUCAGCUCUAAGAUGUAUUAACCACUGUGCUUGCAGAGGCCAGGACUAAGAUUGUACUAUGAAACUUACUGAGUACUUUUCACAAAUUAUUAUCAAAGGAGAGAUUUUUAGAUUUUUGUAUUCUGCUUAGUUUAAA
rnacentral:lncRNA from 1 species